AACGGCACCUUCAGCUCUAAGGAACCUUGUUCUGCAGCGGAGGAUUUUCCUAUUUACACGGUGGCUCCAUUGCGGUCUUCAUACGGCGCCAGCCUGCAUCAUCUGGCGGCUACAUUUGGCCGUGGGACAGCGCCAGCCUGCAUCAUCUAACGGCUGCAUUUGGCUGUGGGACAGCACAAGCCCGCAUCAUCUGACGGCUACAUUUGGCCGUGGGACAGCGCCAGCCUGCAUCAUCUGACGGCUGUACUUGGUCGUGGGACAGUGCUCCUGUCUCUAACUUCAUUGCCAGCAACGGCUCCGGCUGGCGCCACACCUGUGUACUUCCUCCGCAAUUAGUGGUCACAGCGUUUGCUCCGUUUGAUGUCCUGGAGUUGUGUGAUUCCCUGUAUCUAGGGCAAUAAAAGGAUUUCCACCAGCCCAUGGGAAUAUACAGGCACCUGUCCUGCAUCCUCAUCCGGGACCUACACAUUAAGGAACAAGUCUGGAUAACUAUGUCUACAUUGAAUUCCUCCCCUUAACAUCACAUUGUGGGCUCUAUACAAGACUUUACUGAGGACGCUCAGUAAUACCAGCCCCCAGGAGAGAGCCCUCCCUUUCUGAGCUCCCCACGCCUGCUAGCCGUGGAACGCAGCGCUGGUCCGUGGUGGAACGCAUGCCUGCAUUCCCCCGGCAACCGUUAGCCCUGUGCCCGGAAAUGAAGCGGCGGAUGCAGCAGGGUGAAGGAGACGCGAUGGCGGAAGUGAAGGAUGGUGGCGCCAGCAGUGUGUUCUAUUUAAAUGGAGCCCUCCCUUUCUGAGCUCCCCACGCCUGCUAGCCGUGGAACGCAGCGCUGGUCCGUGGUGGAACGCAUGCCUGCGUUCCCCUGGCAACUGUUAGCCCUGUGCCCGGAAAUGACGCGGCGAAUGCAGCAGGGUGAAGGAGACGCGAUGGCGGAAGUGAAGGAUGGCGGCGCCGGCGGUGUGGUGUUCUAUUUAAAUGGGUACGUUUGUUCACUUGUUUUUUGCUGUGUUCAUUCUGAGGACGGGGCUUGCCGCCCCGAAACGUU